GGAUCCAGACUUUGAUUAUGGCUCAGGAUGAACGCUAGCUACAGGCCUAACACAUGCAAGUCGAGGGGAAACGGCAGCUUAGCUUGCUAAGCUGGACGUCGACCGGCGCACGGGUGAGUAACGCGUAUCCAACCUGCCCCACGGUGAGGGAUAACCCGCGGAAACGCGGCCUAAUACCUCAUGGUCUCCGAGCUUGACAUCAACCUUGGAGUAAAGAUUCAUUGCCGUGGGAUGGGGAUGCGUCUGAUUAGCUUGUUGGCGGGGCAACGGCCCACCAAGGCAACGAUCAGUAGGGGUUCUGAGAGGAAAGCCCCCCACAUUGGAACUGAGACACGGUCCAAACUCCUACGGGAGGCAGCAGUGAGGAAUAUUGGUCAAUGGGCGAGAGCCUGAACCAGCCAAGUAGCGUGCAGGAAGACGGCCCUAUGGGUUGUAAACUGCUUUUAUGCGGGGAUAAAGGGGGCGACGUGUCGCCCUUUGCAGGUACCGCAUGAAUAAGGACCGGCUAAUUCCGUGCCAGCAGCCGCGGUAAUACGGAAGGUCCGGGCGUUAUCCGGAUUUAUUGGGUUUAAAGGGAGCGCAGGCCGGGUAUUAAGCGUGUUGUGAAAUGUAGGCGCCCAACGUCUGCACCGCAGCGCGAACUGGUGCCCUUGAGUACGCACGACGUUGGCGGAAUUCGCCGUGUAGCGGUGAAAUGCUUAGAUAUGGCGAAGAACUCCGAUUGCGAAGGCAGCUGACGGGAGCGCUACUGACGCUCAUGCUCGAAAGCGCGGGUAUCGAACAGGAUUAGAUACCCUGGUAGUCCGCGCGGUAAACGAUGGAUGCCCGCUAUUUGCGCAUUAGCGCAAGUGGCCAAGUGAAAACGUUAAGCAUCCCACCUGGGGAGUACGCCGGCAACGGUGCAACUCAAAUGAAUUGACGG
rnacentral:rRNA from 1 species